rnacentral:rRNA from 1 species
GAUGAACGCUGGCGGCGUGCCUAAUACAUGCAAGUCGAGCGAACAGACGAGGAGCUUGCUCCUCUGACGUUAGCGGCGGACGGGUGAGUAACACGUGGAUAACCUACCUAUAAGACUGGGAUAACUUCGGGAAACCGGAGCUAAUACCGGAUAAUAUAUUGAACCGCAUGGUUCAAUAGUGAAAGACGGUUUUGCUGUCACUUAUAGAUGGAUCCGCGCCGCAUUAGCUAGUUGGUAAGGUAACGGCUUACCAAGGCAACGAUGCGUAGCCGACCUGAGAGGGUGAUCGGCCACACUGGAACUGAGACACGGUCCAGACUCCUACGGGAGGCAGCAGUAGGGAAUCUUCCGCAAUGGGCGAAAGCCUGACGGAGCAACGCCGCGUGAGUGAUGAAGGUCUUCGGAUCGUAAAACUCUGAUAUUAGGGAAGAACAAAUGUGUAAGUAACUAUGCACGUCUUGACGGUACCUAAUAAGAAAGCCACGGCUAACUACGUG